CAGUAGCCGCGGGAAUACGUAGGGUCCGAGCGUUGUCCGGAAUUACUGGGCGUAAAGAGCUCGUAGGUGGUUUGUCGCGUUGUUCGUGAAAACUCACAGCUUAACUGUGGGCGUGCGGGCGAUACGGGCAGACUAGAGUACUGCAGGGGAGACUGGAAUUCCUGGUGUAGCGGUGGAAUGCGCAGAUAUCAGGAGGAACACCGGUGGCGAAGGCGGGUCUCUGGGCAGUAACUGACGCUGAGGAGCGAAAGCGUGGGGAGCGAACAGGAUUAGAUACCCGUGUAGUCCCUGUCUCUUAUAU
rnacentral:rRNA from 1 species